AAAUGAAGGUGCAGCUGUCCCUAGAGCCAGUGGGACUAGUGCCUCCACCGGUCAGCAUCCAGCUGUAGAUUUGGUAAUGGAGGAGAAUGAAGGUGCAGCUGUCCCUAGAGCCAGUGGGACUAGUGCCUCCACCGGUCAGCAUCCAGCUGUAGAUUUGCUAAUGGAGGAGAAUGAAGGUGCAGCUGUCCCUAGAGCCAGUGGGACUAGUGCCUCCACCGGUCAGCAUCCAGCUGUAGAUUUGGUAAUGGAGGAGAAUGAAGGUGCAGCUGUCCCUAGAGCCAGUGGGACUAGUGCCUCCACCGGUCAGCAUCCAGCUGUAGAUUUGCUAAUGGAGGAGAAUGAAGGUGCAGCUGUCCCUAGAGCCAGUGGGACUAGUGCCUCCACCGGUCAGCAUCCAGCUGUAGAUUUGCUAAUGGAGGAGAAUGAAGGUGCAGCUGUCCCUAGAGCCAGUGGGACUAGUGCCUCCACCGGUCAGCAUCCAGCUGUAGAUUUACUAAUGGAGGAGAAUGAAGGUGCAGCUGUCCCUAGAGCCAGUGGGACUAGUGCCUCCACCGGUCAGCAUCCAGCUGUAGAUUUACUAAUGGAGGAGAAUGAAGGUGCAGCUGUCCCUAGAGCCAGUGGGACUAGUGCCUCCACCGGUCAGCAUCCAGCUGUAGAUUUACUAAUGGAGGAGAAUGAAGGUGCAGCUGUCCCUAGAGCCAGUGGGACUAGUGCCUCCACCGGUCAGCAUCCAGCUGUAGAUUUGGUAAUGGAGGAGAAUGAAGGUGCAGCUGUCCCUAGAGCCAGUGGGACUAGUGCCUCCACCGGUCAGCAUCCAGCUGUAGAUUUACUAAUGGAGGAGAAUGAAGGUGCAGCUGUCCCUAGAGCCAGUGGGACUAGUGCCUCCACCGGUCAGCAUCCAGCUGUAGAUUUGGUAAUGGAGGAGAAUGAAGGUGCAGCUGUCCCUAGAGCCAGUGGGACUAGUGCCUCCACCGGUCAGCAUCCAGCUGUAGAUUUACUAAUGGAGGAGAAUGAAGGUGCAGCUGUCCCUAGAGCCAGUGGGACUAGUGCCUCCACCGGUCAGCAUCCAGCUGUAGAUUUACUAAUGGAGGAGAAUGAAGGUGCAGCUGUCCCUAGAGCCAGUGGGACUAGUGCCUCCACCGGUCAGCAUCCAGCUGUAGAUUUACUAAUGGAGGAGAAUGAAGGUGCAGCUGUCCCUAGAGCCAGUGGGACUAGUGCCUCCACCGGUCAGCAUCCAGCUGUAGAUUUACUAAUGGAGGAGAAUGAAGGUGCAGCUGUCCCUAGAGCCAGUGGGACUAGUGCCUCCACCGGUCAGCAUCCAGCUGUAGAUUUACUAAUGGAGGAGAAUGAAGGUGCAGCUGUCCCUAGAGCCAGUGGGACUAGUGCCUCCACCGGUCAGCAUCCAGCUGUAGAUUUGGUAAUGGAGGAGAAUGAAGGUGCAGCUGUCCCUAGAGCCAGUGGGACUAGUGCCUCCACCGGUCAGCAUCCAGCUGUAGAUUUACUAAUGGAGGAGAAUGAAGGUGCAGCUGUCCCUAGAGCCAGUGGGACUAGUGCCUCCACCGGUCAGCAUCCAGCUGUAGAUUUACUAAUGGAGGAGAAUGAAGGUGCAGCUGUCCCUAGAGCCAGUGGGACUAGUGCCUCCACCGGUCAGCAUCCAGCUGUAGAUUUACUAAUGGAGGAGAAUGAAGGUGCAGCUGUCCCUAGAGCCAGUGGGACUAGUGCCUCCACCGGUCAGCAUCCAGCUGUAGAUUUACUAAUGGAGGAGAAUGAAGGUGCAGCUGUCCCUAGAGCCAGUGGGACUAGUGCCUCCACCGGUCAGCAUCCAGCUGUAGAUUUACUAAUGGAGGAGAAUGAAGGUGCAGCUGUCCCUAGAGCCAGUGGGACUAGUGCCUCCACCGGUCAGCAUCCAGCUGUAGAUUUACUAAUGGAGGAGAAUGAAGGUGCAGCUGUCCCUAGAGCCAGUGGGACUAGUGCCUCCACCGGUCAGCAUCUAGCUGUAGAUUUGGUAAUGGAGGAGAAUGAAGGUGCAGCUGUCCCUAGAGCCAGUGGGACUAGUGCCUCCACCGGUCAGCAUCCAGCUGUAGAUUUACUAAUGGAGGAGAAUGAAGGUGCAGCUGUCCCUAGAGCCAGUGGGACUAGUGCCUCCACCGGUCAGCAUCCAGCUGUAGAUUUGGUAAUGGAGGAGAAUGAAGGUGCAGCUGUCCCUAGAGCCAGUGGGACUAGUGCCUCCACCGGUCAGCAUCCAGCUGUAGAUUUGGUAAUGGAGGAGAAUGAAGGUGCAGCUGUCCCUAGAGCCAGUGGGACUAGUGCCUCCACCGGUCAGCAUCCAGCUGUAGAUUUGGUAAUGGAGGAGAAUGAAGGUGCAGCUGUCCCUAGAGCCAGUGGGACUAGUGCCUCCACCGGUCAGCAUCCAGCUGUAGAUUUACUAAUGGAGGAGAAUGAAGGUGCAGCUGUCCCUAGAGCCAGUGGGACUAGUGCCUCCACCGGUCAGCAUCCAGCUGUAGAUUUACUAAUGGAGGAGAAUGAAGGUGCAGCUGUCCCUAGAGCCAGUGGGACUAGUGCCUCCACCGGUCAGCAUCCAGCUGUAGAUUUACUAAUGGAGGAGAAUGAAGGUGCAGCUGUCCCUAGAGCCAGUGGGACUAGUGCCUCCACCGGUCAGCAUCCAGCUGUAGAUUUACUAAUGGAGGAGAAUGAAGGUGCAGCUGUCCCUAGAGCCAGUGGGACUAGUGCCUCCACCGGUCAGCAUCCAGCUGUAGAUUUGGUAAUGGAGGAGUGUCUGAAGACAGGUUCAGAUGAGGGUUUGUAUUCUGAAGGUUUACAGAUCCGUUUUAAGGGAUAAGUCAUUUAGCACAUCUUAGGGCUAAUUAUUAAUGUUAUUAGUUUUAGGUGUAGUACUUUUUAUAUGAUACAUUUAGUUGAAUUCAAUCGUCUUUCUUUACAAACACAUUCAAUACACUAACACUCACCUGAUGAAAAUGGUGUGGACAUAAUGAUGCAUUCUGAUUAUUUUAUAUUUUUAAUAUCAACAGUUCAUCUGGCAUUUCAGCAGCAAGUGGUCCAGUAUACACCGUUGGUGAACCAAAUCCGGUCAAGGCAGCUCAGCUGUUCACAUACUGGACACUUCAGUCCCACGAGGACAAAGACCUCCUGAGCUUGAGGGAUUCCUUAGUGGAAAGGAACAGGACCAUAAUCCUUUUCUCAACAAUUGCAUCCAAUGUCUUGGUUUGCUGAGCUUGUGUAACUCUACAUUGAAUGAUUUCAAAUAUGUUUACAAGGUGACUCUGCCAUUGGAGAGGGGGUCACUAGGUAUGUCCUGUCCACUGUUAUGGAAAAUCUUCAAAAUGGAUUCCUACUUGAUGAAGAGAAAGGUUCAUCAGAGGCCCUGAAGAGUUUGUCCGAGGUCCUGAAGAGUGCUUUUUUUAACCUGAAGCUGUCGAAAAAUACUAUGACUUAUGAGGAUUUUGAAAAAGAUCAGAUGGCAAGCAUCUCCUCAUCCUACUCUGGGUUUGGUCUGUUUUGAUUCAAAGCCCUGCAGGAAGACACAAUUCUUCACAUCAGCUCAAAAGUUUUAUAGAGCUUUUUACUUUGUUAUUUGAUAUACUUUACACUAGGUAUAGAGUUUAGUAAACAGUGAUACAGACACUUUGAUAAAGUGGCUUACAUUUUACAUUCUACAUUCUAACGGUAAUGGUUAACCAAAAAAAUCAAAGCUGUACAAUUUGAAAGAUUAGAGAGAGCUAGAUUAAAGGUAUUGCUCACUACCUCGUCAAUUCCCAAUGGCCUUGCAGGCAGAUGCAUUCUAGAUCCUAUUGGAGGAGGAACCUGAAGCUGGGGCCAGUUCAAAGGCCUACCCUCCAUAUCUACUCCCAUUAUCCCUAUUUAAAAGUCCUGUCAAUGCUAAUUGUGACUAACAACGCCUCUUUAUAAACAAUUUUACUUUUGAAGCCAGGCGGGGUUUUCCAACUGUGGGAAACAUACUGUAUUAAGGAAUAUUGUGUGGUAUAUCAGAAUUCCCAUGCACUUGUUCUAUGCCUGGCUGCACUACAAGGUGAACUGUAAGGCAAGUUACCCUCAAACUGUACAAGAGACUGAAAUAAAAAACUGAUGCUUCA